rnacentral:rRNA from 1 species
UACGAAGGGAGCUAGCGUUGUUCGGAAUCACUGGGCGUAAAGCGCACGUAGGCGGCUGUGUCAGUCAGGGGUGAAAUCCCGGGGCUCAACCUCGGAACUGCCUUUGAUACAGCACGUCUUGAGUCCGGAAGAGGUGGGUGGAAUUCCUAGUGUAGAGGUGAAAUUCGUAGAUAUUAGGAAGAACACCGGUGGCGAAGGCGGCCCACUGGUCCGGUACUGACGCUGAGGUGCGAAAGCGUGGGGAGCAAACAGG